CCUANUGGAGGCAGCAGUGGGGAAUUUUGGACAAUGGGGGCAACCCUGAUCCAGCCAUGCCGCGUGCGGGAAGAAGGCCUUCGGGUUGUAAACCGCUUUUGGUCGGGAAGAAAAGGCAUCUCCUAAUACGGGGUGUUCUUGACGGUACCGGCAGAAUAAGCACCGGCUAACUACGUGCCAGCAGCCGCGGUAAUACGUAGGGUGCAAGCGUUAUCCGGAUUUAUUGGGCGUAAAGAGCGCGUAGGUUGUAUUUUAUGUCUUUGUUAAAAGGCUGCCGCCCAACGGCAGUUUCGACAAAGAAACUGAUUUACUAGAAAAAAUCAGAGGCAAGCGGAACUCGCGGUGGAGGAGUAAAAUCCGUUGAUCUCGCGAGGAACACCAAUGGCGAAGGCAGCUUGCUGGGAUUUUUUGACACUGAGGCGCGAAAGCGUGGGUAGCGAACGGGAUUAGAUACCCUANUANUC
rnacentral:rRNA from 1 species